UAUGAUGCGUUUUUGGUGUUUGAUCACAAGUUGCGAGCCCUAAAGACAAGCGUGAACAGACACCAAAAGUGCUUUCACUCAAACCACUUCCCG